AAUCAACGCUGGCGGCGUGCCUAACACAUGCAAGUCGAACGCGAAAACCCCGCAAGGGGUAAGUAGAGUGGCAAACGGGUGAGUAACACGUGGGUGACCUGCCUUCGAGCGGGGGAUAACGUCCCGAAAGGGACGCUAAUACCGCAUGACAUCCUGCUUUUCAAGAAGCGGAGAUCAAAGCUGGGGAUCGCAAGACCUAGCACUCGAAGAGGGGCCCGCGCCUGAUUAGCUAGUUGGUGGGGUAACGGCUCACCAAGGCGACGAUCAGUAGCCGGCCUGAGAGGGCGGACGGCCACACUGGGACUGAGACACGGCCCAGACUCCUACGGGAGGCAGCAGUGGGGAAUUGUUCGCAAUGGGCGCAAGCCUGACGACGCAACGCCGCGUGGAGGAUGAAGACCUUCGGGUCGUAAACUCCUUUCGAUCGAGACGAACGGCCUCCGGGUGAACAAUCCGGAGGAGUGACGGUACCGAGAGAAGAAGCCCCGGCUAACUCCGUGC
rnacentral:rRNA from 1 species